rnacentral:rRNA from 1 species
AACGAACGCUGGCGGCAUGCCUAAUACAUGCAAGUCGAACGAACCGCGACUAGGUGCUUGCACUUGGUCAAGCUGAGUGGCGAACGGUGGCGUAACACGUGGGUAACCUACCUCAUAGUGGUGCAUAACAGUCGGAAACUACUGCUAAUACCGCAUAGGACAUAGUGUCACAUCAUCCAGUGACGCAAGGUGACGCAAGCUAUCGCUGAGAGAUCGACCCGCGGUGCUUUAGCUAGUUGGUAGGGUAAAGGCCUACCAAGGCGAUGAUGCAUAGCCGAUCUGAGAGGGUGAUCAGCCACAUUGGAACUGAGACACGGCCCAAACUCCUACGGGAGGCAGCAGUAGGGAAUCUUACGCAAUGGACGCAAGUCUGAUGGAGCAAUGCCGCGUGAGUGAAGAAGGUCUUCGGAUCGUAAAGCUCUGUAGGUAGAGAAGAAGAGCAGAUAGUGUAACUGUUAUGGGUGUGACGGUAUCUAAAGAGAAAGCAACGGCUAACUACGUG